GGUCUUUUCACCUUGAGCUUCUCCCUUAUUCAUUCCAGCUCAACUCCUGACCAGAUUAGCAUCACCCCGGAGCUGGAGAAUAAGCUAUUUGGGAAGGCUUGGAGCUGGCGUUUGGAAGGAGAAAAGAGUCGUUUUGAUAGUGUUCUUCAAGCUUAUUACAGGGAAUGGUAGAGGGAGAGCUGUAAAAAGUCGGCUUUAAGGGAUAUCCAGCUGCAGCACGAAAAGGUGUUUUGCUGUAAUUUCUUUACUCUAGUACAAGAAAGAGCUGAAUUGAAGUUUGGCAAAGCAGAUUGGAGGUGAAGGAUGUGCUAAAUACCUAACACUUGAGGACUGGGUUAAGGGUAAUUCAAUCAACAGGAAACCGAACUACGAGUAAGAGAUCUAUGUAAAUGAAAUGGAGCCUCAAUUAAGAAAUCCUAAUGCUGUUUCUGGAUCAUGUUCACAGCAGGUGGCGACAGCUCAUUGAACUGUUUUCAGCUGUGAAUUAUUCAGUUAGAGCUGAAUCGAAGGGUGAUUUUGAGCAGAUUUGAGGUGUUGUCAUCUAAGUCGGGGAGGAGGUUAACCCUAUACUGAACCUAAGUAAGCAGUAUGUGCUGAAUUUGAGGAUUUUAGUGAUGAUGCUAAUGCAGUUUUUAUAAUUGUUCGCAGCAGGUUUGAGUAUUGCUCUAGGCUGAGCAUUGGAACUGUUUUGAGUUAGAAUAAGCUGAAUUUCAGGGCAGUUCAACCUGAAUUAAGUUGAGGGGAAUCGAAGACUUCAGAUCUCCCGCAAGAAAGUAUAAUUGGAUGAGGUUGUCGACUAAUAGAGCCAUCUACUACGGGAGAAGCUAGGGACUACGGCAAUGGAGUCGCGACUAGCUAGACAUAGCGUGGAGUCCUUAUAGGUGAUCACCUCGCUACUUAGUUUUGGAUGGACGAGGUUGAUGUUGACCAGUGUGUAGAGAGACCCCAUUAUAUAUAGUUCUUUUGAGAUGACCCUAUAUGUAAAUGUUGUAUUUAUAGUUUUGAGUUUGAUCGCUUGUUGAGUUUCUUUGAGAUUAGUACAUACUUUCCUUUUGUU